CCUACGGGAGGCAGCAGUGGGGAAUUUUGGACAAUGGGCGCAAGCCUGAUCCAGCAAUGCCGCGUGAGUGAAGAAGGCCUUCGGGUUGUAAAGCUCUUUUGUCAGGGAAGAAACGGUGGAGGCUAAUAUCCUUUGCUAAUGACGGUACCUGAAGAAUAAGCACCGGCUAACUACGUGCCAGCAGCCGCGGUAAUACGUAGGGUGCAAGCGUUAAUCGGAAUUACUGGGCGUAAAGCGUGCGCAGGCGGUUUUGUAAGUUUGUCGUGAAAUCCCCGGGCUCAACCUGGGAAUGGCGAUGAAGACUGCAAGGCUAGAAUCUGGCAGAGGGGGGUAGAAUUCCACGUGUAGCAGUGAAAUGCGUAGAGAUGUGGAGGAACACCGAUGGCGAAGGCAGCCCCCUGGGUCAAGAUUGACGCUCAUGCACGAAAGCGUGGGGAGCAAACAGGAUUAGAUACCCUGGUAGUCCACGCCCUAAACGAUGUCUACUAGUUGUCGGGUUUUAAUUAACUUGGUAACGCAGCUAACGCGUGAAGUAGACCGCCUGGGGAGUACGGUCGCAAGAUUAAAACUCAAAAGGAAUUGACGG
rnacentral:rRNA from 1 species